AGUUUUAUUUUUUCUCUUUUAGCCGAUAUAUAUAUAUUAUGAAUUAGGGUUUAAGAAGACGACGUUGGGAUAUCCAAAUUUCUGGCGGCAGACCAACAAUAUGUCGAAGAAGAACAGUCUUUCGCGCAGGAAGAAACAAUAUGAAUUCGACCUUCAAAGGGAGAAACAAGAAAAGGAAAAGGCUGCUAAGAAGCUUCAAGCAAAGAAGAAUAGUAUGAAAGUUGAUGGUAGUGGAAAGAAAAAGAAGGGUGGAGGUGGAUUUCAAGUUGGGAAGAAAAAAGUGAAGACCAAGUUGACGGCAACAGCAAAAGCAAAAGCUUCUCAAGCUAUGGAGCUUGAUAAAUGAGGUUGGCAAUGGGUGCAGAGGCUGAAUCUUCAGGGUACCAUUAGCCCUUCGUUUUGGAGAAAAUCUGGUGAAAUGCAUUGGCAUUAUUUGAACUCAAGUAGUUUAUCAUUGAAGAUCCAAUUCGUCUCAUUCUUUUAGAUCUCAGUCCCUUUCUUGUAAUCUAAUUCGAGUAGUACUCAUUUGAUAUUUUUCCUUCUGUUUAGCAUGUCCUUGUACAUUAUUUCAUACUUUUCAAUGAAAGCUCCACUUUUUUGUCAAGAAAACAUAUGGCUUAUGGGUUUUAUAUUGAGCUUGCGUGUUCAUAUCCAA